UACAGCACCACCGCAAACAACUGAGGAAAGGAGCAAAACGUCUCCGUGGUCUCAUCUCCGGAGAACAAGGAGCCUGAAUCCAUACUGAUCUGCUCUGCUUCAAGUGCUGCAAAUCUGGCACAACAAAGCAGGAGGAUGUCGUCAAGUGUCCUCGGGGUCCCGUCCUUCAGUGCUGUGCAGUUCAGUGAUAAGACUGGUGAUAACAUCUGGCCAAAGGAUCAAGAACCAAAGAGGGACAAAUCAUGCCAGAGCUCAGCGCGUCCCACGGUUCCGAGUGGAGGAUGGACGGGUUCCCCUCUGGCUGCGGUAUCCGGCCUUUCUGACAAACAAACAUCGAGAGGCUAAAAAAAAUCCCCAACAGGAACAACUGAAAAACUGAGGAGAAUCGCUUUGAGCGAGGCGAUUUGAGAUGAAGAACGGUGCAGGUUUCGUGAGAAAAGAGGGCGACCAGAGGGAAAGAGACGGAACAUCAAAAUGCAAGAUCACAUCCAGCCUGUGGGCCUCGGCGUCAGGCGGGACGUGUUUCUGAGCAGAAGACAUCCGCCGCCGGCGGACGGGAAUGUAUGACGUAGAAGGAAAGGCGCUGAGCGGGGAAGCUACGCAUGCUUUGCAUUUCUUGAGGAGCGACACACAUCUUGAUAAAGCAUAUCAUCUUUAUAAAGUUUAGGUGGUCAACCGUGAAGAAGAAGAAGAAACGUGAAGGUUUUGACUUUAAAACUAUUAUUGUACCUUAUUUCUGAACGGUUCCCAUCAGGGAAUUUCUUUAUAAAUAUACAAAACAAAUGAGAUGCAG
ensembl:lncRNA